UCCAGACUCCUACGGGAGGCAGCAGUGGGGGAUAUUGCACAAUGGGGGAAACCCUGAUGCAGCGACGCCGCGUGGGCGAAGAAGUAUUUCGGUAUGUAAAGCUCUAUCAGCAGGGAAGAAAAUGACGGUACCUGACUAAGAAGCCCCGGCUAACUACGUGCCAGCAGCCGCGGUAAUACGUAGGGGGCAAGCGUUAUCCGGAUUUACUGGGUGUAAAGGGAGCGUAGACGGCAUGGCAAGUCAGAUGUGAAAGCCCGGGGCUCAACCCCGGGACUGCAUUUGAAACUGUCAGGCUGGAGUGCAGGAGAGGUAAGUGGAAUUCCUAGUGUAGCGGUGUAAUGCGUAGAUAUUAGGAGGAACACCAGUGGCGAAGGCGGCUUACUGGACUGUAACUGACGUUGAGGCUCGAAAGCGUGGGGAGCAAACAGGAUUAGAUACCCGCGUAU
rnacentral:rRNA from 1 species